rnacentral:rRNA from 1 species
AACGCUAGCUACAGGCUUAACACAUGCAAGUCGAGGGGCAGCAUUUUAGUUUGCUUGCAAACUGAAGAUGGCGUCCGGCGCACGGGUGAGUAACACGUAUCCAACCUACCGAUAACUCCGGAAUAGCCUUUCGAAAGAAAGAUUAAUACCGGAUAGCAUACGAAUAUCGCAUGAUAUUUUUAUUAAAGAAUUUCGGUUAUCGAUGGGGAUGCGUUCCAUUAGUUUGUUGGCGGGGUAACGGCCCACCAAGACUACGAUGGAUAGGGAUUCUGAGAGGAAGGUCCCCCACAUUGGAACUGAGACACGGUCCAAACUCCUACGGGAGGCAGCAGUGAGGAAUAUUGGUCAAUGGGCGAGAGCCUGAACCAGCCAAGUAGCGUGAAGGAUGAAGGCUCUAUGGGUCGUAAACUUCUUUUAUAUGGGAAUAAAGUUUUCCACGUGUGGAAUUUUGUAUGUACCAUAUGAAUAAGGAUCGGCUAACUCCGUGCCAGCAGCCGCGGUAAUACGGAGGAUCCGAGCGUUAUCCGGAUUUAUUGGGUUUAAAGGGAGCGUAGGUGGAUUGUUAAGUCAGUUGUGAAAGUUUGCGGCUCAACCGUAAAAUUGCAGUUGAAACUGGCAGUCUUGAGUACAGUAGAGGUGGGCGGAAUUCGUGGUGUAGCGGUGAAAUGCUUAGAUAUCACGAAGAACUCCGAUUG